rnacentral:rRNA from 1 species
GACGAACCGUGCGAACGUUGUUCGGAAUCACUGGGCUUAAAGGGCGCGUAGGCGGGCUGUCCAGUCUGGGGUGAAAUCCGCCGCGCACAUCGGAUGACUGCCUCAGAUACUGACGGCCUCGAGGGAGUAGGGGCAUGCGGAACUGUAGGUGGAGCGGUGAAAUGCGUUGAUAUCUACAGGAACUCCGGUGGCGGAAGGCGGCGUGCGUGGA